GAUGUGGCGUAGCGGUAGUGCGAUUGUCUGCGACGCAGAAGGUUCCGCGUUCGAUUCUCGGUGGGUCA